GAUCCUGGCUUAGGACGAACGCUGGCGGCAUGCCUAACACAUGCAAGUCGAACGGGGGUAGCAAUACCCUAGUGGCGAACGGGUGAGUAACACAUAAGCAAUCUGCCCUUCACAGGGGGAUAACAGCGGGAAACUGCUGCUAAUACCGCAUAAGACCACGGUACCGCAUGGUACAGGGGUAAAAACGAAUCAGUGGUGAAGGAUGAGCUUAUGUCCCAUUAGCUAGUUGGUGAGAUAACAGCCCACCAAGGCGACGAUGGGUAGCCGACCUGAGAGGGUGAUCGGCCACACUGGAACUGAGACACGGUCCAGACUCCUACGGGAGGCAGCAGUGAGGAAUAUUGGGCAAUGGAAGGAAACUCUUACCCAGCAAUGCCGCGUGAGUGAAGAAGGUCUUCGGAUUGUAAAGCUCUUUGAUUGGGGACGAAGAAAGUGACGGUACCCAAAGAACAAGCCCCGGCUAACUACGUGCCAGCCGCCGC
rnacentral:rRNA from 1 species